GAAGGGACCAAGCGUUGUUCGGAAUCACUGGGCUUAAAGCGCACGCAGGCGGGAAGUUAAGUGUCUUGUGAAAUCCCUCGGCUUAACCGAGGAACUGCUUGGCAUACUAGCUUCCUUGAGGCAAGUAGGGGUGCAUGGAACUCUAGGUGGAGCGGUGAAAUGCGUAGAUAUCUAGAGGAACGCCAGCGGUGAAAACGGUGCACUGGGCUUGUUCUGACGCUGAGGUGCGAAAGCGUGGGGAGCGAACGGGGGAUUAGAUACCCCGGUAGUCCACGCCGUAAACGAUGUCUACUAGGUCGUGGAGGUUCUGACGCCGUCACGGCCGAAGCAAAAGUGUUAAGUAGACCGCCUGGGGGAGUACGGUCGCAAGGCUA
rnacentral:rRNA from 1 species